rnacentral:rRNA from 1 species
GAAUAUUAGUCAAUGCUCGCAAGAGUGAACUAGCUAACUGAAAUCACAUUUAAACUAUGUUGAUAAUGUGAUAACGUAAGGGAAAAAAAUGAUAUUACCUUACUACUAGUGUUGUCCAAAACUGGUGCCAGAAGACUCGGUAAAGCCAGAGACGCAAACGUUAGUCGUCCUAAUCAGGCGUAAAGGGUAUGUAGGCUGCUUUAAAAUCAAUUAAAGCUAGAAUCAAAUUGAGGAUAAACCAAAUAAUACUUAGUGUAGGGUUGAUAUCUAUAGAUACUAAGGGGAAUACUAAAGGUGAAAGCUUUUUAUCUAUUAAUGAUUGACGCUGAGAAACGAAGGUGAGAAUAGGAAAUAGGAUUAGAUACCCAGAUACCUCUCACUGUCAACGAUGAAUGGUGGUUGUUAGUUUUAAAACAAACUGGUAACGAUGUUAACACGAUAACCAUUCCGCCUUGCGAGUACGGUUGCAAAACUGAAACCAAAAAAAUUAGUCGGUCUCGAAGCAAACGAAGUGAAGCAUGUUAUUUAAUUCGAUA